rnacentral:lncRNA from 1 species
CACAGGUACAUAGUACGGCAGAAUAUUGAAAACGAAACUGAAAUAUAGUACAUGCGGCAAAAGCCUCGAGCGAAACUUCGUUUGCACGUUUACAAACAAGCAAUACUCAUGCAUUUGAUAUUAUGUACCGCCCGACAUAAUAUAUUUAUCCUUGCCCAUGAGAAAAAUUAUUUAAAAAAACAACAAUACAAGUAAAAAGUAAAGAUCGUAACCAUCUAUCACCCCGAAUUUAAAUUAAUGCAAAACACGUGAAUUUAUAGAGAAACACGUGCGUUGCUUCAUAGCUCGUAUUCCAGCGUGUUCCGGGUGGGAUUCCGGGUGUUCCGGGUGGGGUUCCGGGUAGGGGUGCACCGGAUUUCAAAUCCGGCCGGAUUUAACGAAUUUUCCGGCAUCCGGUAUCCGGCCGGAUUUAGAGAAAAUCCGGCCGGAUUUAAAUUUCUGUUUUCACCUUAAAAAUUCACCAAGAAUG